UACAGAGGGGGCAAGCGUUGUUCGGAAUUACUGGGCGUAAAGGCGCGUAGGCGGCCCGCUAAGUCGAACGUGAAAUCCCCGAGCUCAACUCGGGAACUGCGUCCGAUACUGGUGGGCUUGAAUCCGGGAGAGGGAUGCGGAAUUCCAGGUGUAGCGGUGAAAUGCGUAGAUAUCUGGAGGAAUACCGGUGGCGAAGGCGGCAUCCUGGACCGGCAUUGACGCUGAUGAGCGAAAGCUAGGGGAGCAAACGGG
rnacentral:rRNA from 1 species